rnacentral:rRNA from 1 species
GUACGGGAGGCAGCAGUGGGGAAUUUUGCGCAAUGGGCGAAAGCCUGACGCAGCAACGCCGCGUGGAGGAUGAAGGCCUUCGGGUCGUAAACUCCUGUCGAUGGGGACGAAAGCCUAGCAAUAGGUUUGACUGUACCCGUUGAGGAAGCCACGGCUAACUCCGUGCCAGCAGCCGCGGUAAUACGGAGGUGGCAAGCGUUGUUCGGAAUUACUGGGCGUAAAGGGCGCGUAGGCGGCAAGACAAGUCGGAUGUGAAAGCCCCGGGCUCAACUCGGGAAUUGCAUCCGAAACUGUUUAGCUUGAGUUCUGGAGGGGGUAGUGGAAUUCCCAGUGUAGCGGUGAAAUGCGUAGAUAUUGGGAGGAACACCUGCGGCGAAGGCGGCUACCUGGACAGAAACUGACGCUGAGGCGCGAAAGCUAGGGGAGCGAACGGGAUUAGAUACCCCUGUAGUCCC